AGGCCGCGCCCGAGAGACCAGCCAAGCAUCUCCGGGGCGCCCCGGGACGGGACGUGGUCGUUCUGCAGCAGCGCCCGGCCUGGCCUUGGGCCUGGACCUGAACCCCGCCGGCUCCUCCACCCCGGUCGGCCAGGUCCUCGGUCCCCGCCCGGGCCCCGGUCGGCCCGGUGCUCCCUCCCUCCUGCCUGGCCCGAUCCUCCCUCUCUUCCUCCCCGCCCGGCCAGGUCCUCCCUCCUUCUCUCCCUCCCCGCCCGUCAGGUUCUCGGCCCCCUCUGAGCCUGAUCCUCAGGCGCGGUGGCGGCCAGGUCCUCAGCCGCCAGCCCGCCAUGGAGGUGGAGGAGGCGUUCCAGGCGGUGGGCGAGAUGGGCCUCUACCAGAUGUACUUGUGCUUCCUGCUGGCCGUGCUGCUGCAGCUCUAUGUGGCCACAGAAGCCAUCCUCAUUGCACUGAUUGGAGCUACACCAUCGUAUCACUGGGACAUGGCAGAGCUCCUGCCCAACCAGAGCCACAGCAAUCAGUCGGAUAGCAAAGAACAGGCCUUUGGGGACUGGCUCCUGACCGCCAACGGCAGUGAGAUCCAUAAGCACGUACAUUUCAGCAGCAGCUUCACCUCCAUCGCCUCCGAGUGGUUUUUAAUUGCCAGCAGAUCUUAUAAAGUCAGUGCGGCCAGCUCCUUUUUCUUCAGUGGUGUGUUUGUUGGCGUCAUCUCCUUUGGUCAGCUUUCCGAUCGCUUCGGAAGAAAAAAGGUCUAUCUCACAGGUUUUGCUCUUGACAUCUUAUUUGCUAUCGCAAAUGGAUUUUCCCCCUCCUAUGAAUUUUUUGCAGCGACUCGCUUCUUGGUGGGCAUGAUGAAUGGAGGAAUGUCCCUGGUGGCCUUUGUCUUGCUCAAUGAAUGCGUGGGCACUGCCUACUGGGCACUUGCAGGAUCCAUCGGCGGUCUCUUCUUCGCUGUUGGCAUCGCACAAUAUGCCCUGUUAGGAUACUUCAUCCGCUCCUGGAGGGCCCUAGCUGUUCUGGUCAACCUUCAGGGAACAGUCGUCUUUCUCUUAUCGUUAUUCAUUCCUGAAUCACCUCGUUGGUUAUACUCCCAGGGUCGACUGAGUGAGGCAGAAGAGGCUCUCUACCUCAUUGCCAAGAGGAACCGCAGGCUCAAGUGCACGUUCUCACUCACAUGUCCGGCCAACAGGAGCUGCAGGGAAACCGGAAGCUUCCUGGAUCUCUUCCGUUACCGGGUCCUCCUAGGACACACUCUGAUCCUGAUGUUCAUCUGGUUUGUGUGCAGCUUGGUGUACUACGGCCUCACCCUAAGUGCUGGUGACCUAGGGGGCAGUAUUUAUGCCAACCUGGCCUUAUCUGGCCUCAUAGAGAUUCCAUCCUACCCUCUCUGCAUCUACCUGAUUAACCAAAGAUGGUUUGGUCGGAAACGGACACUAGCAGCCUUUCUGUGCCUCGGAGGACUGGCCUGUCUUAUUGUGAUGUUUCUUCCCGAAAAGAAAGACACAGGUGUGUUCGCCGUGAUCAACAGCCACUCCUUGUCCUUGCUAGGGAAGCUGACGAUCAGUGCCGCCUUCAACAUUGUUUACAUCUACACCUCUGAGCUGUACCCCACUGUCAUCAGGAAUGUUGGCCUUGGAGCGUGUUCCAUGUUCUCCCGAGUGGGCGGGAUCAUUGCCCCCUUCAUACCCUCACUGGUUGAAGUACGUGCAGUGGUCUCUGCCCUUCAUCGUGUUUGGAGCCACCGGCCUGACCUCAGGCCUCCUGAGCCUGCUAUUGCCAGAGACUCUGAACAGCCCUUUGCUGGAGACGUUUUCUGACCUUCAGAUGUACUCCUAUAGGAGGUUAGGGGAGGAAGCCUUGUCUCUGCAGACCUUGGACCCUCCACAGGCCCUGGACAAGGCCAGCCCCCUGGGGAGUGAGAGCGAGGAGGAGGAAGAGUUCUAUGAUGUGGACGAGGAGACCCAGAUGAUCAAGUGAAGGGCCCCAUUCCAGCCCAGAAGCAAAGCCUCAUCAUCACGAGUGCCUCGGGGUCGGCUUAAACACCAGUGAGAUCCUCAGCCCACUGACACCUUCCAGACACAGAGGACGCUGGAGGAGAGAUUCUAAAAGGGAGAACCUUGGCACACCGAGAGAAUCAUUGCUAACUGUUCAGAUUUGAGGCUGAGCUCACUCAGCACCAUGCCUCUGGUCACACAGCUCCAGUUUACUGUCUAGGUGACUCACUCUAUCCCAUGCUGCUUCCCAUCCUUGGGUCUAAGAGCAGAUGCGUGAAACUGCUCGCAGAUUUACCAGGGUUAGCCAGAACU